rnacentral:rRNA from 1 species
UACGAAGGGGGCGAGCGUUGUUCGGAUUUACUGGGCGUAAAGGGCGCGUAGGCGGCGGGUCAAGUCGAGUGUGAAAGCCCCGGGCUCAACCUGGGAGGUGCGCUCGAGACUGGUCUGCUAGAGUUCGGGAGAGGAGCGUGGAAUUCCCAGUGUAGAGGUGAAAUGCGCAGAUAUCGGGAGGAACACCAAUGGCGAAGGCAGCUCGCUGGGACGUUACUGACGCUGAGACGCGAAAGCGUGGGGAGCAAACAGG